GACGAACGCUGGCGGCGUGCCUAAUACAUGCAAGUAGGACGCAGUUGCGAACGGGUGAGUAACGCGUAGGUAACUACCUAUUAGAGGGGGAUAACUAUUGGCAACGAUAGCUAAUACCGCAUACUAGUAGAUGGACCUGCGUUGUAUUAGCUAGUAGGUAGGGUAAUGGCCUACCUAGGCAACGAUACAUAGCCGACCUGGGAGGGUGAUCGGCCCACCUGGGUGGUGGACACGGCCCCGACUCCUACGGGAGGCAGCAGUAGGGAAUCUUCGGCAAUGGGGGGAACCCUGACCGAGCAACGCCGCGGGAGGGAAGAAGUUUUUCGGAUCUUAAAGCUCUGUUGUUAAGGAAGCGGUACUUAACCAGAAAGGGACGGCUAACUACGUGCCAGCAGCCGCGGUAAUUC
rnacentral:rRNA from 1 species